rnacentral:lncRNA from 1 species
GUGUCGGCACGCGCGUCCGGUCUCCUCGCCAAGUCGCGCGCAGGGAUGGAUGGGCGGGGCCGGUCGCGCGCGGAGUUAAUGCGGCCACCAGACCAGAGUGACCACCGGCCGGGCUGUUCCUAUCCGCGCGCGAGCCGUACGUGGACGCGAGUGGCCAGCCACCCUGCGAGAGACUGCGACCACCGCCGUGCGCCCGGGCCCGGCCGUUCCAUGCUCACGGCUUCCCCAGCUCCAAUUGGCCACGACGACGCGUACGCUUUGGUCAC